rnacentral:tRNA from 1 species
AGCGGGUAGCGCUCAGGGAGCAAACCGGUCUUGAAAACCGGGCCACUAUAACUGGUGAGAGUUCGAUUCUUUUACCCGCUGCCA